rnacentral:lncRNA from 1 species
GUAUACUAACUCAACAGUAGUUAACUGAGCAACUACCUUGAGCUUUCUCAGUUAUCCACAUAGACAAGGAUAUGAAAAGGAACCAAACACAUUCUCCGGCAUAAGGAGCUCAAGAAGAUAAAAUCUGUAAGUGAAUUAGCAUUGCACGAUAUAGAAGAUGAUGAGCACCACAGACAGGAUCCUAACAAGUACUAUGGUAAUCCAGAGGAGGGAGCAACUCCAGGAAGGCUGCACAGCGGAGGAGGCGGCAUUAGAUCCGGGCUGUUAAGAAGAGCCAGGAUUUCAACAAGCACAGACGAUUCCAGCCAUAAGUGGCAUACUAAGAGAUUCUCCACAGCAACAACAACGACAAACAAACAAACAAAAAACAUAAAGAAGGAAUUCAUUACUACCUUGAAUAUGAAGAACACGAUAAGUAUCUUCCGUGUGAUGAUCUAAAUUUUCAUCCCCCAGAGAAGAGUAUCCUUGGAAACAGGUCUGGCAGGGAGUCGUGGAGCUGGUUGAACAAUACCAGACAGUACGUGGAGAGCCUUGCAUUGCGUUCACCACCUCGCUCAUUUUUAUUCAAAAUGAUUCCAGAAAAUCAAUGUGACCAUCUGGCCUCGGAGAAACUUCACUGAGGUCCCAAAUGUCUUCAGUACCCAGAUGAAUCCUUAUAACUCUAUUGAAAAUACAUUUAAAAAGCAGUUAUUGAUCAUGUAUUGUGAUCCUGGUCCCAAG